AUUGAACGCUGGCGGCAGGCUUAACACAUGCAAGUCGAGCGGAGAUGAGGUGCUUGCACCUUAUCUUAGCGGCGGACGGGUGAGUAAUGCUUAGGAAUCUGCCUAUUAGUGGGGGACAACAUUCCGAAAGGAAUGCUAAUACCGCAUACGUCCUACGGGAGAAAGCAGGGGAUCUUCGGACCUUGCGCUAAUAGAUGAGCCUAAGUCGGAUUAGCUGGUUGGUGGGGUAAAGGCCUAACAAGGCGACGAUCCGUAGCGGGUCUGAGAGGAUGAACCGCCACACUGGGACUGAGACACGGCCCAGACUCCUACGGGAGGCAGCAGUGGGGAAUAUUGGACAAUGGGGGGAACCCUGAUCCAGCCAUGCUGCGUGUGUGAAGAAGGCCUUAUGGUUGUAAAGCACUUUAAGCGAGGAGGAGGCUACUGAGACUAAUACUCUUGGAUAGUGGACGUUACUCGCAGAAUAAGCACCGGCUAACUCUGUGCCAGCCGCCGCGGUAAUAC
rnacentral:rRNA from 1 species